rnacentral:rRNA from 1 species
GGCGAACGCUGGCGGCAGGCCUAACACAUGCAAGUCGAACGGAUCCUUCGGGAUUAGUGGCGGACGGGUGAGUAACACGUGGGAACGUGCCCUUUGGUUCGGAACAACUCAGGGAAACUUGAGCUAAUACCGGAUGUGCCCUUCGGGGGAAAGAUUUAUCGCCAUCGGAGCGGCCCGCGUCUGACUAGCUAGUUGGUGAGGUAAAGGCUCACCAAGGCGACGAUCAGUAGCUGGUCUGAGAGGAUGAUCAGCCACAUUGGGACUGAGACACGGCCCAAACUCCUACGGGAGGCAGCAGUGGGGAAUCUUGCGCAAUGGGCGAAAGCCUGACGCAGCCAUGCCGCGUGAAUGAUGAAGGUCUUAGGAUUGUAAAAUUCUUUCACCGGGGACGAUAAUGACGGUACCCGGAGAAGAAGCCCCGGCUAACUUCGUGCCAGCAGCCGCCGUAAAAC